UGGUGGUGAUGAGGACAUAAAAUCAACAAGGAUUUAAAUCUAUCCCAAGCUUGGUAUAAAUUUUGUCCUCCCUUUUAUUUAAAACUUGAGAUCUCACUCUUUAGCUU